rnacentral:rRNA from 1 species
UACGUAGGUGACAAGCGUUGUCCGGAUUUACUGGGCGUAAAGAGCGCGCAGGCGGUCGAUCAAGUCGAGUGUGAAAGCCCCCGGCUCAACUGGGGAGGGUCAUUCGAUACUGAUCGACUCGAAGGCAGGAGAGGGUAGUGGAAUUCCCGGUGUAGUGGUGAAAUGCGUAGAUAUCGGGAGGAACACCGAUGGCGAAGGCAACUCGCUGGGACGGUACUGACGCUGAGGCGCGAAAGCGUGGGGAGCAAACAGG